rnacentral:rRNA from 1 species
ACCUGCGGCAGGAUCAUUGUCGUGACCCUGAUCAAUCAAAAUAGACUGUGAAUAUGUUACCCAUGCUGCUGGGUGAUGGGCCUGCACCUGUCUCCCAGAACAGGGUGCCUACCCCUCUUUUUAGGGGGAGGUGCUCUAAAAGAACCCACGGCGCUGUAUGGCGUCAAGGAACACUAAGGUUGCCUUGCAUGGGGGGACUGGCUUGCCUGCUCCACACUUGUGCAAUGAUGAUAAAAUAAUCUACAUGACUCUCGGCAACGGAUAUCUUGGCUCUUGCAUCGAUGAAGAACGUAGCAAAAUGCGAUACUUGGUGUGAAUUGCAGAAUCCCGUGAACCAUCGAGUUUUUGAACGCAAGUUGCGCCUGAGACCUUCUGGUUGAGGGCACGUCUGCUUGGGCGUCACGCCAAAAGGCACUCCCCAUCUUAUCAUUGAGGAUGAGGAAGUGGUAUUUGGCUCUCCGUUUCAGUAGACACGGAGGGCAUAAGUUGGGGCUGCCGGCAGUGUCGAUCACAGCACAAGGUGGAUGGCUAACUAUUCUCGGUGCUGGGUUUGAGACUGCAUUCGGUGAUGAUGCCCUUAACACCCAUGCUCCGAAACACAUGUUGCUUGGACCGCGACCCCAAGUCAGUCGGGACUACCCGCUGAAUUUAAGCAUAUCAAUAAGCGG